GAGCUUGUUGAGUCACUUGUACUACAACCAACCGCUCGUCUUUAGAAACAAUGGGACUCACGUGUCAAACACACAAAGGCAUGUUUGAAUGUUAAUGUUGUGGUGUAUUUGUGGAUUGUGCAAGUGUUUUGUGGAUGUUUGCGAGGGGUGAAGUAGUCUAAUGUUGUAGACUAAGUUAGUGUAGACUAGUUUAAUAUUUUGUGGAUGUUUGCAAAGGUUGAAGUAGCUUAAUGUCUCUUGUGAAUGUUUGAAUGACGUUUUGAUUCAACUUUGAAGUAGUUUCGAAUUGAAUUUGAUGUAUUGGUGGUUGUAAUAUAUGUGUUUGUUGAAAUAGCUUAAUGUUUUAUGUA